AUACGGAGGAUCCGAGCGUUAUCCGGAUUUAUUGGGUUUAAAGGGUGCGCAGGCGGAAGAUUAAGUCGGUGGUGAAAUUUUGCAGCUCAACUGUAAAAGUGCCAUUGAUACUGGUUUUCUUGAGUGUGGAUGAAGUAGGCGGAAUUUGUGGUGUAGCGGUGAAAUGCAUAGAUAUCACGAGGAACUCCGAUUGCGCAGGCAGCUUACUAAACCAUAACUGACGCUCAGGCACGAAGGCGUGGGGAUCAAACAGGAUUAGAUACCCUGGUAGUCCACGCAGUAAACUAUGAUUACUCGCUGUUUGCGAUACACAGCAAGCGGCUUAGCGAAAGCGUUAAGUAAUCCACCUGGGGAGUACGUUCGCAAGAAUGAAACUCAAAUGAAUUGACGGGG
rnacentral:rRNA from 1 species